CCGGCUCCUCAGGCGGCAAGGUGCUCCAGCGUGAAGGUGCUCCGGCGUGCCCCUGCUGAUCUCCUGCUCGUGGAACAACUGCAUCAGCAGGAACACAUGCUGCAUCUGGUUUAUCUACACUCUUCUCAGCCUGGGAAUUAUCAUGUGCUUGCUGACCUGCUCGGGCCACAUCGCCGCUGAAACUGCAAACAGCCCCUGCCUGUCUUGUCACGUGAUCUUUGUAUUCUUGCUUGUGAUACUGGAAGCUGCAAUCGCCGCCGGUGUAUUUCUGAAUAGCUACUGGGAGGAGGACAAAUCCCACCAGACUUGGCUCUAAUUGAAGUUAUCAUAAGAGUAAGCAAUCAUCACUUGUUGUUCUGUUUUCUGAUUCUAUAGAGAAAGCUCAAAAUUUGCAGUGUAAGAUCAAACUUUUGCUCGCAGAAUAUUGAAUGUGCGCUAAAAAGUAUGUAGAUUUACUCAUGAGGGCAGAAUCCUGUGAAUUUCUUUUGAAUCGAUUGCUCAAUUAGGAAUAAUAACAUACAUGAUUUACGCAUGUGUGGACUUGGAACUUAUGGUCCUUUUGUUUGCGAACUAUUGUUGCAUAUGUACGCAUGUGUGGACUUUCGUUGGAUAUAUAUUGCUUGCUGGAUCUAUAUAUUGCUCGAUAUAUAUUGUUGGUCAUUUUGCUUGCUGGAUAUAUAUUGUUGGUCAUUUUGUUUGCUGGAUCAAUAUAUUGCUGGAUAUAUAUUGUUGGUCAUUUUGCUUGCUGGAUCGAUCAAUAUAUUGCUGGAUAUAUAAGCCAUCUUGCUGCUGCUCGCUGAAGCAUGCAGGAAAAAAAAUGCUAUUUGGCAUAUAAACCGUGUGUCCCAGGGACAUGGCACCCGGCUUAUAGGCAUAUUAUGCCACGGGGAGCUGUAUAAGCCGAGUGUUCCUGAUGCAGGCACCCGGCUUAUAGGAUAUGUUUAACAGUGGAUGUCCUAUAAGCCGUGUACAAAGGCACCCGGCUUAUAUUUAAACCGUGCAGCUCGUGCGGACACAAGGUUUAUAUUUAAACCGUGUGGCUCCCUUAGCUAGGCACUCGGUUUAUGUUUAAACCGUGUAGUGCUCGUGGGCACUCGGUUUAUAUAUAAACCGUGUGGCUCAUGUAGGCACUCGGUUUAUAUUUAAAUCAUGCGGCUCUAUUAGGCACUCGGUUUAUAUUUAAACCGUGUAGCGCUCGAGGGCACUCGGUUUAUACUGACGAUAACACGUGGCCGUUAUCUCCCGGCUGCCGUCAUGUUACUUUAGUAAGCCGAGAGCCUCGUAUAAACACACGGCUUUUAAGUAAACCGAGUGUUUUCCCACUGGCACUCGGCUUAUAGCGUAUAAGCCGAUCAAGUGUAAACCGUGUCAUAUAAGCCGGGAGUUUGACUCGGCUUAUAUAUAAACCGAGUUUAUAUCGACAUAAGCCGAGUUCUUUGGGUACACGGCUUUAAAGUUUUUUCCUGUAGUGUCUCCAGCCAAUUCGCUAGUUGGUACUACUUGUUGAUCAUGCCAAGAACUUCAUUAUUUUUCUUCUCACCAAAAUCGGUCAACAGUCGACAGCGCGGCGCUAUAAAACUCCAUGAUAUAUAAAACUCCACAAGCUUGAAAGCUAUACGCCAUGCAUGUAAUCUCUCUCAACUAUCUCCAACAUAUGGAUCGGAAGGAGUACCUCAUUAAGAGCUUCAUACUAGAAGCACAUAUCCUAUGGUAGUACCAUUAUUUCUAAUAGGAAGAUUCCAACACUUGAUAAGACACAUGAGUACCUAAAUAAGUCAUUCCAGCAAUAAAGAAGAUUCCAACACUUGAUAGGAGAUUUCAUUAUUAAGAACAGAUUUCAACACUUAAUAAGACAAUUUCUCAAUAAAAAAUUUCAACACUUAAACAUACCUACAAGAAGAGAUAUUUUUAUGCUUCUUAUAUUCAUGGAUAUUAUUUUGUUGAUAUGAUUACUUCAUCGUUUCUCAAUAUUUAUACCGUCAAAUAGGUUACAUGAUACACAUGUUGGGUAGCAUUUCACAUAAAAAAAUCUAUUUUUAUCAUUUACCUACUCGAGUACGAGCAAGAAUUAAGUUUGGGGAUGCUUGAUACGUCUUCAACGUAUCUAUAAUUUAUUAU